CUACUUGGAUAACCGUGGUAAUUCUAGAGCUAAUACAUGCUAAAAACCCCGACUUCGGAAGGGGUGUAUUUAUUAGAUAAAAAACCAAUGCCCUUCGGGGCUCCUUGGUGAAUCAUGAUAACUUAACGAAUCGCAUGGCCUUGCGCCGGCGAUGGUUCAUUCAAAUUUCUGCCCUAUCAACUUUCGAUUGUAGGAUAGUGGCCUACAAUGGUUUCAACGGGUAACGGGGAAUUAGGGUUCUAUUCCGGAGAGGGAGCCUGAGAAACGGCUACCACAUCCAAGGAAGGCAGCAGGCGCGCAAAUUACCCAAUCCCGAUACGGGGAGGUAGUGACAAUAAAUACUGAUACAGGGCUCUUUUGGGUCUUGUAAUUGGAAUGAGUACAAUUUAAAUACCUUAACGAGGAACAAUUGGAGGGCAAGUCUGGUGCCAGCAGCCGCGGUAAUUCCAGCUCCAAUAGCGUAUAUUAAAGUUGUUGCAGUUAAAAAGCUCGUAGUUGAACCUUGGGCCUGGCUGGCCGGUCUGCCUCACCGCAUGUACUGGUUCGGCCGGGUCUUUCCUCCUGGGGAUCCGCAUGCCCUUCACUGGGUGUGUUGGGGAACCAGGACUUUUACUUUGAAAAAAUUAGAGUGUUCAAAGCAGGCCUUUGCUCGAAUACAUUAGCAUGGAAUAAUAGAAUAGGACGUGCGGUCCUAUUUUGUUGGUUUCUAGGACCGCCGUAAUGAUUAAUAGGGAU
rnacentral:rRNA from 1 species